AUGGAUCUACACCCAGUGGUGCUUUGCUGGAAUGUUCGCGGUUUGAACAAUCUCGCAAAAGAAAAGGCGGUGCGGGAAUUUGUGGGCACGUUAGUGGUCAACUUGAUUUUCUUUCAAGAAACUAAGAUGGAUGUAAUAGACCGAUUCAUAGUUAUGUAAUGUUUGGGGCCAUCUUUUGAUGGCUUUGCUUACUUGCCGGCGUUGGAGACUCACGGUGGAGUGCUCUUAGCUUGGAAUAGCUCGGUGUUGGAAGUGGAAGCCACUCAAUUCGACACGAACUUUGUCACGGGAUGGGUGCGCACCAAAACUUGGGAUCCUUGGUGGAUUUCGGUGGUCUACGUACCACAAGGGGAUGAGCGCAAGUGCCAAUUCCUGGAGGAGCUUAGGAUGAGAAGCGCGAUAUGCCCUGGAGCUUGGCUCAUGUUAGGCAAUUUCAACAUGAUACUACAAGCUUCAGAGAAAAGCAACAACAAUCCUAAUAGGAGCAUGGUGAGCAAAUUUAGGGAAUUUGGAGAGGACCAACAGCUUCGUGAGAUGUACAUGCACGGGAGAAAGUAA
rnacentral:rRNA from 1 species